rnacentral:rRNA from 1 species
CCCUAGUAACGGCGAGUGAAGCGGGAACAGCUCAAAUUUGGAAUCUGGCGGAUUGCAUCCGUCCGAAUUGUAAUUUCAAGAGGCAUCUUCGGGUUCGGCUCAGGUAAAAGUCCGUUGGAAUACGGCAUCAUAGAGGGUGAGAAUCCCGUCCAUGACCUGGGUCCCGUUCCUAUGUGANGUGUCUUCAAAGAGUCGAGUUGU